rnacentral:rRNA from 1 species
UACGUAGGGUGCGAGCGUUGUUCGGAAUUAUUGGGCGUAAAGAGCUCGUAGGCGGUCUGUCGCGUCGGCUGUGAAAACCCGGGGCUCAACCCCGGGCCUGCAGUCGAUACGGGCAGACUAGAGUGCGGUAGGGGAGACUGGAAUUCCUGGUGUAGCGGUGAAAUGCGCAGAUAUCAGGAGGAACACCGGUGGCGAAGGCGGGUCUCUGGGCCGUAACUGACGCUGAGGAGCGAAAGCGUGGGGAGCGAACAGG